AGAGUUUGAUCAUGGCUCAGAACGAACGCUGGCGGCGUACUUAACACAUGCAAGUCGAACGAGAACGGGGGCUUCGGUCCUUUAGUAAAGUGGCGAACGGGUGCGUAACACGUAAGUAAUCUGCCCCAGACUCUGGGAUAACGUUUCGAAAGGAACGCUAAUACCGGAUAGUUUCCAGUGGCACAAGUUGCUGGAGGAAAGUUAGCUUGCUUGCGGUCUGGGAUGAGCUUGCGGCCCAUUAGCUAGUUGGUGGGGUUAAGGCUCACCAAAGCGACGAUGGGUAGCUGGUCUGAGAGGAUGAUCAGCCACACUGGCACUGAGACACGGGCCAGACUCCUACGGGAGGCAGCAGUGGGGAAUUUUGCGCAAUGGGCGAAAGCCUGACGCAGUAACGCCGCGUGGAGGAUGAAGGCCUUCGGGUUGUAAACUCCUGACUGGGGGAAAGAUGAUGACGGUACCCCCAAAGAAAGCCCCGGCUAAUUCCGUGCCAGCAGCCGCGGUAAUACGGAAGGGGCAAGCGUUGUUCGGAAUCAUUGGGCGUAAAGGGGCGUGUAGGCGGUUUCAUAUGUCCGCUGUGAAAGAACACGGCUCAACUGUGUCAAGCGGCGGAAACUGUGAGACUUGAGGCUGGGAGGGGCUGGUGGAAUUCCCUGUGUAGCGGUGAAAUGCAGAGAUGGGGGAGAACACUCGUGGCGAAGGCGGCCAGCUGGACCAGUUCUGACGCUGAGACGCGAAAGCGUGGGGAGCAAACAGGAUUAGAUACCCUAGUAGUCC
rnacentral:rRNA from 1 species